rnacentral:tRNA from 1 species
CCCCUGAUAGCUCAGCUGGAAGAGCGCAAGACUGUAAUUGUCCAGUUCUGUAAAGAACUUGUCAUCUUGAGGUCCUUGGUUCGAUCCCGAGUCGGGGGA